rnacentral:rRNA from 1 species
AGUCGACGGCAGCCGGACUUCGGUCUGGUGGCGAGUGGCGAACGGGUGAUUAACAUAUCGGAACGUAUCCAAUAAUGGGGGAUAACUAAUCGAAAGGUUGGCUAAUACCGCAUACGCCCUACGGGGGAAAGCAGGGGACCUUCGGACCUUGCGUUAAUGGAGCGGCCGAUAUCUGAUUAGCUAGUUGGUGAGGUAAAGGCUCACCAAGGCGACGAUCAGUAGCUGGUCUGAGAGGACGACCAGCCACACUGGAACUGAGACACGGUCCAGACUCCUACGGGAGGCAGCAGUGGGGAAUUUUGGACAAUGGGCGCAAGCCUGAUCCAGCCAUUCCGCGUGAGUGAAGAAGGCCUUCGGGUUGUAAAGCUCUUUCGCAAGGGAAGAAAACUUACUUUCUAAUAAAGAGUGAGGUUGACGGUACCUUGAUAAGAAGCACCGGCUAACUACGUGCCAGCAGCCGCGGUAAUACGUAGGGUGCGAGCGUUAAUCGGAAUUACUGGGCGUAAAGCGUGCGCAGGCUGUUCUGUAAGUCAGAUGUGAAAUCCCCGAGCUCAACUUGGGAACUGCGUUUGAAACUACAGGACUAGAAUAUGUCAGAGGGGGGUAGAAUUCCACGUGUAGCAGUGAAAUGCGUAGAGAUGUGGAGGAAUACCAAUGGCG